ACGUACGCUGGCGGCACGCCUAACACAUGCAAGUCGAACGAAGUAGCAAUACUUAGUGGCAGACGGGUGAGUAACAUGUAGGUAUCUGCCCUUUGGCCUGGAAUAACACGAGGAAACUUGUGCUAAUACCGGAUAAGUCUUUACGGAGAAAGCUUUAUGCACCAUUGGAUGAGCCUGCACUUGAUUAGUUUGUUGGUGGGGUAAUGGCCUACCAAGACUGUGAUCAAUAGCUGAUUUGAGAGGAUGAUCAGCCACAUUGGGACUGAGACACGGUCCAAACUCCUACGGGAGGCAGCAGUGGGGAAUCUUGCACAAUGGAGGAAACUCUGAUGCAGCGAUGCCGCGUGAGUGAAGAAGGCCUUUGGGUUGUAAAGCUCUUUCGUCGGGGAAGAAAAUGACUGUACCCGAAUAAGAAGGUCCGGCUAACUUCGUGCCAGCAGCCGCGGUAAUACGAAGGGACCUAGCGUAGUUCGGAAUUACUGGGCUUAAAGAGUUCGUAGGUGGUUGAAAAAGUUAGUGGUGAAAUCCCAGAGCUUAACUCUGGAACUGCCAUUAAAACUUUUCAGCUAGAGUAUGAUAGAGGAAAGCAGAAUUUCUAGUGUAGAGGUGAAAUUCGUAGAUAUUAGAAAGAAUACCAAUUGCGAAGGCAGCUUUCUGGAUCAUUACUGACACUGAGGAACGAAAGCAUGGGUAGCGAAGAGGAUUAGAUACCCUCGUAGUCCAUGCCGUAAACGAUGUGUGUUAGACGUUGGAAAUUUAUUUUCAGUGUCGCAGCGAAAGCGAUAAACACACCGCCUGGGGAGUACGACCGCAAGGUUAAAACUCAAAUGAAUUGACGGGGACCCGCACAAGUAGUGGAGCAUGUGGUUUAAUUCGAAGAUACGCGCAGAACCUUACCAACACUUGACAUGUUCGUCGCGACUCUAAGAGAUUAGAGUUUUCGGUUCGGCCGGACGAAACACAGGUGCUGCAUGGCUGUCGUCAGCUCGUGUCGUGAGAUGUUGGGUUAAGUCCCGCAACGAGCGCAACCCUCACUUUUAGUUGCCAUCAUUAAGUUGGGCACUCUGAAAGAACUGCCAGUGAUAAGCUGGAGGAAGGUGGGGAUGACGUCAAGUCCUCAUGGCCCUUACGUGUUGGGCUACACACGUGCUACAAUGGUAUCUACAACAGGAAGCAAGACUGCGAAGUUAAGCAAAUCCCUAAAAGAUACCUCAGUUCGGAUUGCACUCUGCAACUCGAGUGCAUGAAGCUGGAAUUACUAGUAAUCGUGGAUCAGCGUGCCACGGUGAAUGCGUUCCCGGGUCUUGUACACACCGC
rnacentral:rRNA from 1 species